rnacentral:rRNA from 1 species
UACAGAGGGGGCAAGCGUUGUUCGGAAUUACUGGGCGUAAAGGGCGCGUAGGCGGCCUUCUAAGUCGAACGUGAAAUCCCUGGGCUCAACCCAGGAACUGCGUCCGAUACUGGGAGGCUUGAAUCCGGGAGAGGGAUGCGGAAUUCCAGGUGUAGCGGUGAAAUGCGUAGAUAUCAGGAGGAACACCUGCGGUGUAGACGGCUUACUGGACGGUAACUGACGCUGAGGCACGAAAGCGUGGGUAGCAAACAGG